UAAAAGAGAGUUUUUUCAUGGGAUGAACUCACGAACCGAAUAAAUAGUUUACUGGAUGAUCUUAAUAGCAAAACAAAACUUUUUUAAGAUGAGUUCUAUAACAAAACAUAGAUUUUGAAUGGUUGAUCUCAAGAACCAAACUCAAUUCUUCAUAAGUAUCACAUUCUUGAAAAUAAAAACAAUCGCACGAUGACAAUACAACUCUUUUCUCACAAGUAGUUUUCACUCACAAUAUAACUCUUUUCAAAGUUCUAUCCUUUAGAACAAAUGUUGUCAGCUUUGCUCCCUCGACAGUAGAUUUCUUCAUCAGGUCAUGGGAUA
rnacentral:lncRNA from 1 species